AGCGGUCAGGAAGGAAAUUGGCUGCAGCUCUGGGAUGUCAGAGUCCUGCAGUGAGGGAUGGAAUUGCCACCAGAGUUCUGCCCACUGUUUAUGACAAUGUUCUAAGUUUCCUAUCAAAGCUAAAAGUCUUCAAACAACUUAGAAGGGGCUAGACUAAAACGGCCCUUUUGCCCCUCACGUCACAAGACUGGGGAGAAAGUGCAGAGCGUCGGUAGAUCUCCGU